rnacentral:lncRNA from 10 species
GCUGCUUUGAUUUAAGAAGACAAUACCAUUUCCAGACAUCUCUUUCCUGGGGCUAACUAUAUUAGUAUUCUGCCCUGAUGGGAAGGAAGAAACUUCAUGGGCAGUAAAUAGCCAAUUUAGAAGCAGGAGAAAUAUGAGGUAGAAAAGGCUUGGACUACAUGUUUGGUUUGAAGUUUGAAAAUCUCAGUCCUUCCCCAACCAUCAAAAAUAUUUACCUCCCUCCCUUGUCUCACAAUCAUCUAAGCUGCCUUCUUGAAUUGACUCCCACACCUGUUCAUCAUAGAAGGAAAAAAAUAAAAGCAAAUGCCAUAUAAAAUCUCUCUUCUUCAACAAGGUCUUCUGUUUUGAAAUAUUGAAACAGUUCCUGUUCUAUUACCUCACCAGCUGUGGCCUUUUAUCUCCUAAAGGGAAUAGCUGACGUCUUACCAGUCAAAGUCAUUGUGCUUACGGACGCCAUAAAUAUCUCCUUUAAAUCCUACAUGAUAAAUUUCCCUCUGAUUGGUAAAGCAGAUACUGUAACAUGCAAAGGGGGAGCAGGAGAGUCUUUGAUGAUGUUAAACUAAGCCCCUGGAGAUAUCCCAGCUCUUCCUCCAGAAUUUUACUUUCCAACAACUGGAGUCAACAAAUACGGUAGAAAAUGUUGUCUGGAUUAUCUACUCCCAUUAUUUUUUUUUAAACUGGUUUUCAAUGAUGGGCAACCUAAAAUUUACUCACACAGAACACAAAACAGUUGAAUUUGUUAAAAGUCCAAAAUGUGCUUUUGUACUUUUGUAAAAUGGGAAUGUGCUUCUUGUACAAAUCACAAUAUGCUUUCUAGACCACAACCUAAAAAGGAAAGAAAAAAAUCCUGUGAAUAAAAAAAAAAAACAAGGACUUUCAGUUUUCUACAUGCAUUUGAAAUGACUUUAUCUCUGACUCAUGUUCUACUUUAUUUUUGAUUGGGAAGACCUGUUCCUAUACUGUAAUUUUUUUUUAAUAAUAAGUUUCCAUUUGUAACUAUUAGUUGGUCUUUCCACAAAAUUGGUUUGCUGGAAAGGACUGAGAAGAGAAAGAGCAUUCCUGGAUCAAUGGAACUGAUGAGUGUGGAAGUCCUUGAACUUGACCAAGCAUUGUCAAUUCUCAUAGUCUGACCAAAAAAAAACUAGAUUAUUUUGUGUGUUUUUCUUGGUGCUCCUAAUGUAAGUUUAUUCAAAUUGGGGGGGGGGCGGUGGGGGGAACAAACAAGUAGACUGCAGUUGUAAGAGAAAAAAGGUGAAAAUAAAUUAUUUUGGUGUUUUUUAUUACUUGGAACUUUAUUUAUUGUAGGAUAUAGAUUUAAGAUAAUUUUUUGUUUGUUUGUUUAUUUUAUUUUUAUUUAUUUAUUUGUUG